GACGAACGCUGGCGGCGUGCCUAAUACAUGCAAGUCGAACGCAGUGGGGACGGGUGAGUAACACGUGGGUAACCCCCCAUCCGUGGGGAUAACACUUGGAAACAGGCGCUAACUCCGAUAUUGAUGGAAGGACCCGCAGUCCUUUCGCUAGUUGGUGAGGUAACGGCCCACUAAGGCGAGGAUGCAUAGCCGACGUGAGAGGGUGAUCGGCCACACUGGGACUGAGACACGGCCCAGACUCCUACGUGAGGCAGCAGUAGGGAAUCUUCGGCAAUGGACGAAAGUCUGACCGAGCAACGCCGCGUGAGUGAAGAAGGUUUUCGGAUCGUAAAACUCUGUUGUUAGAGAAGCGGUAUCUAACCAGAAAGCCACGGCUAACUACGUGCCAGCAGCCGCGGUAAUUC
rnacentral:rRNA from 1 species